rnacentral:rRNA from 1 species
GAGGCAGCAGUAGGGAAUAUUGGUCGAUGGGCGAGAGCCUGAACCAGCCAUGCCGCGUGCAGGAUGACGGCCUUCUGGGUUGUAAACUGCUUUUAUACGGGAAGAAAAAGUCCUUGCGAGGACAAUUGCCGGUACCGUACGAAUAAGCACCGGCUAACUCCGUGCCAGCAGCCGCGGUAAUACGGAGGGUGCAAGCGUUGUCCGGAUUUAUUGGGUUUAAAGGGUACGUAGGCGGAUUUUUAAGUCCGUGGUGAAAGCCUGCAGCUUAACUGUAGAACUGCCAUGGAUACUGGAAAUCUUGAAUUCAGUUGAGGUAAGCGGAAUUUAUGAUGUAGCGGUGAAAUGCAUAGAUAUCAUAAAGAACACCUAUUGCGAAGGCAGCUUGCUGGACUUGAAUUGACGCUGAGGUACGAAAGCGUGGGGAGCGAACAGGAUUAGAUACCCUGGUAGUCCACGCCGUAAACGAUGAUUACUCGCUGCUGGCGAUACACUGUCAGUGGCCAAGCGAAAGCGUUAAGUAAUCCACCUGGGGAGUACGCUCGCAAGAGUGAAACUCAAAGGAAUUG